CCUACGGGCGGCAGCAGUGAGGAAUAUUGGUCAAUGGACGAGAGUCUGAACCAGCCAAGUAGCGUGAAGGAUGACUGCCCUAUGGGUUGUAAACUUCUUUUAUAUGGGAAUAAAAUGUUCCACGUGUGGGAUUUUGUAUGUACCAUAUGAAUAAGGGUCGGCUAACUCCGUGCCAGCAGCCGCGGUAAUACGGAGGAUCCGAGCGUUAUCCGGAUUGAUUGGGUUUAAAGGGAGCGUAGGUGGAUUGUUAAGUCAGUUGUGAAAGUUUGCGGCUCAACCGUAAAAUUGCAGUUGAAACUGGCAGUCUUGAGUACAGUAGAGGUGGGCGGAAUUCGUGGUGUAGCGGUGAAAUGCUUAGAUAUCACGAAGAACUCCGAUUGCGAAGGCAGCUCACUGGACUGCAACUGACACUGAGGCUCGAAAGUGUGGGUAUCAAACAGGAUUAGAUACCCCAGUAGUC
rnacentral:rRNA from 1 species